UACGUAGGGGGCAAGCGUUGUCCGGAUUUAUUGGGCGUAAAGAGCGUGUAGGCGGCCAGACAGGUCCGUUGUGAAAACUCGAGGCUCAACCUCGAGAUGUCGAUGGAAACCGUCUGGCUAGAGUCCGGAAGAGGAGUGUGGAAUUCCCGGUGUAGUGGUGAAAUGCGUAGAGAUCGGGAGGAACACCAGUGGCGAAGGCGGCCGGCUGGGGGUGACCUGACGCUGAGGCGCGAAAGCGUGGGAAGCGAACCGG
rnacentral:rRNA from 1 species